rnacentral:tRNA from 1 species
GGGUACAGCUCGGUGGUAGAGUGCAUGGUUAGUAUGCAUGAUGUCCUGGGUUCAAUUCCCAGUGCUGCCA